UCUUUGGCGGCCCAUAAGCCCUCUUGUGUUUUAAUUUGCUGUUGCUUCGCCCAAUCCGACCUGCUUCCUCGAACUCAAUGCUCCAUUCCUCUCUGCCUCAAGCCAACCUCCCAAAUUCAGGUAAGCAAAUCUCUGCUCAAUUUCUUUGCACAUCACAUCGUAGCCCUGAAAUGGAACUCUGCAUGCUGUUUUAAUUCCAUUUAAGAAGAAGAAGAAGAAGAAGAAGAAGAAGCAAACGUAAUAAAAAACAUGCUCUCUUUACUGUCCUUAAAGAAAACACAUAGUACUAAUCACCAUCUCUUCCAAAUUCCCAAAAGACUAUUUGUUGCUCUUAGCCCAACAGCAACAUCAACUCAAUCCAUAGAAGUUGAAAGAAUUGCAAGAAUAAUCAAUGACCAUCCAUUUCCAAAUCAACCUCUACAUCCAACUCUCACCCACCAUAUUCCACCAACUCUCCUUACCACCGCUUUUGUUGAAAACGUUCUUGGCCGCCUCUUUGCUGCUCACUCUAAUGGCCUUAAAGCCUUGGAAUUCUUCAAAUAUUCGCUCAAUAAUCAAACCCAUUUUUCCCCAAGUCCUGAUUCCUUCGAAAAGACGCUUCACAUACUUGCCCGGAUGAGAUAUUUUGAUAAAGCUUGGGAUUUAAUGGUUGAAAUUGGAAAGACGCAUCCUUUUUUGCUUACCCUUAAGUCUAUGAGCAUAAUGUUAUGUAAAAUUGCUAAAUUUCGAUCUUAUGAGGAGACCCUUGACGCGUUUGAGAAAAUGGAGAAGAGGGUUUUUGUUGGGAGGAAAUUUGGCGUUGAAGAGUUUAAUGUGUUACUUCGGGCAUUUUGCACUGUGAGGAAAUUGAAAGAGGCGAAAUCUGUGUUUGUAAAGAUGCAUGAGAGGUUCCCUCCUAAUGUUAAGACCAUGAAUAUUUUGCUGUUGGGGUUCAAGGAAUCUCGGGAUGUUACUGCAAUGGAGUUGUUUUAUCAUGAGAUGGUUAAGAGGGGGUUUAAGCCUAGUAGCUCAAGUUAUGGUAUUAGGAUUGAUGCUUAUUGUAAAAAGGGUUAUUUUGCUGAUGCUUUGAGGAUUUUUGAAGAAAUGGAGAGGGCUAAUUGCUUGCCGACAUUGGAAACAGUCACCACUUUGAUUCACGGAGCAGGGGUUGCUCGAAACGCAAUGAAAGCCAGGGAGUUGUUUGAUGAAAUUCCUAAGAGGAAUUUGCAAGCUGAUACUGGGGCAUAUAAUGCACUGAUUAGCUCACUAGUUAAGUGUAGGGAAGUGAAGUCUGCCAUUCAGUUGAUGGAUGAGAUGGAAAAGAACAAUAUUCAUUAUGAUGAUAUGACCUAUCAUACAAUGUUCUUAGGCUUGAUGAAAUCAGGUAGUAUUGAGGGGGUUUGUGAGCUUUAUCACAAGAUGAUUGAUAGAAAUUUCGUUCCCAAAACACGAACUGUGGUUAUGCUGAUGAAAUUCUUCUGCGUGAAUAGCCAGAUUGAUCUGGGUUUGAAUUUGUGGGGAUAUCUGGUGGGGAAGGGGUAUUGUCCUCAUCAUCAUGCAUUGGACCUUUUGGUAACAGGAUUGUGUUCUAGGGGGAGGUCGCAUGAAGCUUUUAAGUGCUCCAAGCAAUCAUUGGAGAGAGGAAUCCAUGUCAGCGAAGCAGUGUAUGGAAUGUUGGAGAGAUUCUUACUACAAUCUAACAUGACGGACAAGCUGGGGGAGCUCAAUCAGAUGAUAGAGAAGUUACAAUCUGUUUUGCCCCCAUCAAGUGGGAAUUAUAUUCAUAGUCCUUCCAAUGGUAUGGAGUAAGAUGUUUCUUUUAAGAACAUAUUAAUACAAUUUUAUCUGAAUUGGAAGAAAUGCUCGAUGGUCUGAUGUGAUUUUGGUGAUUUUAUACCAAUUAAAGGGAGUGAGCAACAUUAUGGAUUCCUCAUUAUAAUCUAGGAUUUUAAACUUUACAGUGAAUGAAUCUUAUGAUAGUGUUCUGUGAUGGUUAUGGAAGUUAGCAAAUGAGGGCAAUGUUGAGGGUACUGACUGUAAGAUCACAGGGAGAAUAAAAUUGACCCAAGAAAUUAAGACCAUAGUAUCUGGUCAGGUGCUCAAUCCAUGCAAGGUCCCAGAUGCUGGUCGUUUAAACAAACUUUUGUUGAAUGCUCCAAGAGAUUUGAGGGUAGAGAAUUUGGAUAAGAUGUGGGUCCAAAAGCUCUGGUACUGAUAAAUAGACCAUAAGGAAUGUGAGGAUACAUCUUUGUGAUAUGAUUGGAAAGAAUGAAGAGGAGAAAAUGGAAGAGAAAGGCAGAAUUCGUUCCAUCGUAGAUGAAAGCUCCAAAUGGGACAUUCUGAAGUUUCAGCUCAACAUCUCCAGGUUCUGAUGGCAGGAAGUCCACCCAGCAAGGCUGCAUCACAUAAUUUGGUGGCCACACUCAGUGAGAAAGUGUUCAAAGGCAAAUCAUUACUUGUCUCUAUUGGCACAUGAGAAUGAACCCUGAGGCUCCAUAUCUAUCCUUUUGCAGAUGAAAAACCUCAAAAAACAAAAAACAAAAAAAUCGACAUUGAGAUAUAGAACUCAAACCAACAGGCUGCAAAGUCCUAAUGUUAAGUUCUUUGCUCAUGCUGUAAAGGCCUGCAAUCUAGGAAACUCCAACCAUGGGGUAGAGUAGUAACCACAACCACGCAAGGAGAGCAAGAUUCAACAUUUUGAAAGAUUUUUUUUUAAUUCCUUUGUAAACACAUUGAGUUAAUCAUAAAUUAAUCCUUAUACUUUAUUGAAAUUAAUUAAUUAAUCAAUCCUUCUAGUUUUGUCAA